UGGGGAAUUUUGGACAAUGGGCGAAAGCCUGAUCCAGCCAUGCCGCGUGCAGGAUGAAGGCCUUCGGGUUGUAAACUGCUUUUGUACGGAACGAAAAGACUCUGGUUAAUACCUGGGGUCCAUGACGGUACCGUAAGAAUAAGCACCGGCUAACUACGUGCCAGCAGCCGCGGUAAUACGUAGGGUGCAAGCGUUAAUCGGAAUUACUGGGCGUAAAGCGUGCGCAGGCGGUUAUAUAAGACAGAUGUGAAAUCCCCGGGCUCGACCUGGGAACUGCAUUUGUGACUGUAUAGCUAGAGUACGGGCAGAGGGGGGAUGGAAUUCCGCGUGUAGCAGUGAAAUGCGUAGAUAUGCGGAGGAACACCGAUGGCGAAGGCAAUCCCCUGGGCCUGUACUGACGCUCAUGCACGAAAGCGUGGGGAGCAAAACAGGAUUAGGAUACCCUGGUAGUCCACGCCCUAAAACGAUGUCAACUGGUUGUUGGGGUGCUUCACUGACUCAGUAACGAAGCUAACGCGUGAAGUUGACCGCCC
rnacentral:rRNA from 1 species